AUUGAACGCUGGCGGCAUGCUUUACACAUGCAAGUCGAACGGUAACAGGCCUUCGGGUGCUGACGAGUGGCGCACGGGUGAGUAAUGCAUCGGAACGUACCCAGAGGUGGGGGAUAACGCAGCGAAAGCUGUGCUAAUACCGCAUGUGAUCUGAGGAUGAAAGCGGGGGACCGAGCAGCAAUGUUUGGCCUCGCGCCUUUGGAGCGGCCGAUGUCGGAUUAGCUAGUUGGUGGGGUAAAGGCCUACCAAGGCGACGAUCCGUAGCUGGUCUGAGAGGACGACCAGCCACACUGGGACUGAGACACGGCCCAGACUCCUACGGGAGGCAGCAGUGGGGAAUUUUGGACAAAGGGCGCGAGCCUGAUCCAGCAAUGCCGCGUGCGGGAAGAAGGCCUUCGGGUUGUAAACCGCUUUUGGCAGGAACGAAACGGUGUCCGCUAAUACCGGGCGCUAAUGACGGUACCUGCAGAAUAAGCACCGGCUAACUACGUG
rnacentral:rRNA from 1 species